rnacentral:rRNA from 1 species
AUUGAACGCUGGCGGCAGGCCUAACACAUGCAAGUCGAACGGUAACAGUAAACAUCUUGCUGUUUCGCUGACGAGUGGCGGACGUGUGAGUAAUGUCUUGGAAACUGCCUGAUGUAGGGGGAUAACUACUGGAAACGGUAGCUAAUUCCGCAUAACGUCGCAAGACCAAAGAGCUGGACCUUCGGGCCUCUUGGCAGCGGAUGUGCCCAGAUGUGAUUAGCUAGUAGGUGGGGUAACGGCUCACCUAUGCUACGAGCCCUAGCUGGUCUGAGAGGCUGACCAGCGACCCUGGAACAGAGACACGGUCCAGACUCCUACGGGAGGAAGCAGUGUGGAAUAUUGCACAAUGGGGGCAAGGCUGAUGCAGUGAUGCCGCGUGUAUGAAGAAGGCCUUCCGGUUGUAAAGUACAUUAAGCGGGGAGGAAGGGAGUAAAGUUCAUACCUUUACUGAUUGACGUUACCCGCAGAAGAAGCACCGGCUAACCCCGUG